rnacentral:rRNA from 1 species
UUUCCUACGGGAGGCAGCAGUGGGGGAUAUUGCACAAUGGGGGGAACCCUGAUGCAGCGACGCCGCGUGGGUGAAGGAGCGUUUCGGCGCGUAAAGCCCUAUCGGCAGGGAAGAAGAUGACGGUACCUGACCAAGAAGCCCCGGCUAACUACGUGCCAGCAGCCGCGGUAAUACGUAGGGGGCAAGCGUUAUCCGGAUUUACUGGGUGUAAAGCGAGUGCAGGCGGUUCAAUAAAUCUGAU